GCUACAAACUUAACGCCUCUUCAAACUUAACGCCUCCUCAUCCUCAUUGGCCACAACACGAGCUUUCUCAUUUUGUUUGUUUAGAUCAGCUGCAGUAGAACACGGAUCUAAGAUGAAAGGCGGAGAAGAAGAUCAGAACUGUUGUAAGAAGAGCUGCUAAGAGAAACUGGAGGAUAAACAGAUAAACAGCAGAAAGAGAAGAUGGAUAAAGCGCAGAAAGAGAAGAGUGCAGCCAAUGGGACAGAAGCUGAUGAAAGUGACCUGAAGAGUAGUAGCAGUGGAAGAAGAAGAAGAAGCAGGAUAGUAUCCCAUAAUUUCUGUGAUGAUCCUCCAGAUCUUUUUCCAGAUGUUCAGAUGAAGGAAUCUGGAAGCUGAUUUCUACUGAUCAGACUGUGCUGAGAGUUUCUAUUCAAACCUAAUUUUUUUAUUCUUUCCAGCUUCUUUGUUUGUUGUGUUCUGAACAUAACAUAUUAAAUGUACGUUUUAUAUUAUUCAUACAGUGUGUGAAUAAAUCUUGAUUAAUCCAGCA
rnacentral:lncRNA from 1 species